rnacentral:rRNA from 1 species
CAUGUAGGCGGUUUGGUAAGUCGGUCGUGAAAAUGCGGUGCUUAACGCCGUAUGGCGAUCGAAACUGCGGAACUUGAGUGCAGGAGAGGAAAGGGGAACUCCCAGUGUAGCGGUGAAAUGCGUAGAUAUUGGGAAGAACACCGGUGACGAAGGCGCCUUUCUGGACUGUGUCUGACGCUCAGAUGCGAAAGCCAGGGUAGCGAACG